AGUGGAUGGGGAGCAACCUAGUUGUGCGUGUGUAAAGGUAGUGCCAAGAAAAGCGAUGAUCAUUUUGAAAAUCAAUUCCCGGUACCCGAAACCGACACAGGUGGGCAAGUAGAGAAUACUAAGGGGCGCGAGGUAACUCUCUCCAAGGAACUCGGCAAAAUGACCCCGUAACUUAGGGAGAAGGGGUGCCACCGAGAGGUGGUCGCAGUGAAGAGGCCCAGGCGACUGUUUAGCAAAAACAUAGGUCUCUGCAAACUCGAAAGAGGAGGUAUAGGGGCUGACGCCUGCCCAGUGCCGGAAGGUUAAAGAAGUUGGUCAGUCUUAGGAUGAAGCUAGCGACUGAAGCCCCGGUGAACGGCGGCCGUAACUAUAACGGUCCUAAGGUAGCGAAAUUCCUUGUCGGGUAAGUUCCGACCCGCACGAAAGGCGUAACGAUCUGGGCGCUGUCUCGGAGAGUGGCUCGGCGAAAUAGGAUUGUCUGUGAAGAUACGGACUACCUGCAUUUGGACAGAAAGACCCUAUGAAGCUUUACUAUAGCUUGGAAUUGUGUUCGGGCUUCCUGUGCGCAGGAUAGGUGGGAGGCGUAGAAGGUAUUCUUGUGGGGAUACUGGAGCCAACGGUGAGAUACCACUCUCAGGAGGCUAGAAUUCUAACUUAAUUAAGGACAGUUUCAGGUGGGUAGUUUGACUGGGGCGGUCGCCUCCAAAAAGGUAACGGAGGCGUACAAAGGUUCCCUCAGACUGGUUGGAAAUCAGUCGAAGAGUGCAAAGGCGGAAGGGAGCUUGACUGCGAGAAGUACAGUUCGAGCAGGGUGGAAACACGGUCUUAGUGAUCCGACGGUGCUGUGUGGAAGGGCCGUCGCUCAACGGAUAAAAGUUACUCUAGGAUAACAGGCUGAUCUCCCCCAAGAGUUCACAUCGACGGGGAGGUUUGGCACCUCGAUGUCGGCUCAUCGCAACCUGGGGCGGAAGUACGUCCCAAGGGUUGGGCUGUUCGCCCAUUAAAGCGGUACGUGAGCUGGGUUCAGAACGUCGUGAGACAGUUCGGUCCAUAUCCGAUGUAGGCGUGAGAAUAUUGAGAGGAGCCUUCCUUAGUACGAGAGGACCGGGAAGGACGCACCGCUGGUGUACCUGUUAUGAUGCCAAUUGUAAACGCAGGGUAGCCAAGUGCGGAGAGGAUAACCGCUGAAAGCAUCUAAGUGGGAAGCCCACCUCAAGAUGAGUAUUCUGGUGUAAGGUCACGGGAAGACGACCCGUAAAUAGGCACGAGGUGGAAGUGCAGAGAUGUAUGAAGCCGAAGUGUACUAAUAGACCGUCGGCUU
rnacentral:rRNA from 1 species